GCGCAAUGUGCCUAAGGAGAACAGGACACAUAAUAAAAUACAUCUGCGUGAAACCCCGUUAUUGCCCGUCAAAACUCGUCUGCUGGCAAAUCACGGUGCAAAAGGCGGCUGGGAGCUGGAACCGAAGGGCUCGCUGCACCGGGGGGCUCUGGCACAGCUCCCCACUCGUAUUCCUGGGUAAAAAUAUAGUAGUAGCUCUGCUGCAGCCAAGCAGAUAUGCAGAUUUCAACUUCUUUUCUGAAUUUCAUCAAAUAUGUCAUAAAUAAUUGGCUCAAUGAAAGGCUAAGUCAAUGACAAGUCUGAAGUUGAAAACUCAGCUUGUUUUGAGCUCUUUUCAAGUGCCGCCACUCCUCCUUCCUACAGCUUUAUGAAAGUUAAUGAUCUGAUUAAAGCUAGGUGGAGCAUACAGCUGUGAGGAUUUCACCGUUGCAGCUCAUUACAAACCAUCUGAGAACCCGCUUUUUGUUGAAAAUGUUAAUUUAACCCACCCUUUUCCCCAGAACAGGUCCGUUGGGGAAGGUUUCUCCUCUGCCAGUGAAGUUCCUGAUCACCACGGAGCAGCGCUGAGGCUUGGGGUGUUCGAGCAAGGAGCAAAGGAGGACAUGGGGCACGUCCCUCUUGGAAGCUCAGGUGGCCGUGGUUGGAGAGACGUUACACCUGGAUGCAGUGAUUUGGGAUGCUUUCCAUGGCACCUCUCUCCCAGCCUGGCAGAGUAGUCUUGCUCAGUCCUCCGCACAAGAGCGGUCCUGUUGCUGUCUGUGAAGCCGUCCAGACCAAAUGUACAAGUGGAAGGCACAGCCUGAGGGGAAGAGCCUCUGGCUGCUGCACUGCAGGGAUGCUUGCAGACACAGCCCUGCUCCUGCACAAGCCUCCCACCGCUGCUGGACUCCUGACUCUUGCAGAAGGCACUGCUCUACCCCAGGGUCUGAAUCCUGCUCACGCCGCACCUUCCAGACCCCCCAGCAGGAGCAGAGGAGGCACAGAGGUGGCCCAGAGUUGGCAGAGGGGACAGUCACCAUUUCAUACCUCCAGACACCCGGGCAAAGCCGAUUCUUAGGAGCUGCAGCCUCCCACCUUGCAACCACAGCCACGCAGGCAGCGCCUGGGGACCGGGAGGGACCAGCUGCUCAUGUGGCC
rnacentral:lncRNA from 1 species